UCAAAUUAUUUUAUCCGGACAAGCAAGGCCAAAACAAAAUUCAAAGUACAUAAAACGUCAAAACCAAAUUCAAACUAUUCUUAAUGAUAAAGAAAACAGGACAACCCUCGAGACAAUACGAGGUAUGUGUCGCGGUCUCCCAGGGGCGUCGCGAACGAAGUGAGUUCAGUCAAAGAACUGGAAACAGUGGAAACUAUAAUUAAUGUUAUAAAUAAAUACAUUUAAAUACAUAGAAACAUUA